rnacentral:tRNA from 1 species
AGGCCAGUAGCUCAAUUGGUAGAGCAGCGGAUUCCAAAUCCGCAGGUCGGGGGUUCGAUUCCCUCCUGGCCUG